ACGAACGCUGGCGGCGUGCUUAACACAUGCAAGUCGCACGGAAAGGCCCUGCUUGCAGGGUACUCGAGUGGCGAACGGGUGAGUAACACGUGGGUGAUCUGCCCUGCACUUCGGGAUAAGCCUGGGAAACUGGGUCUAAUACCGGAUAGGAGCCAUUUUUAGUGUGAUGGUUGGAAAGUUUUUUCGGUGUAGGAUGAGCUCGCGGCCUAUCAGCUUGUUUGUGGGGUAAUGGCCUACCAAGGCGGCGACGGGUAGCCGGCCUGAGAGGGUGGACGGCACAUUGGGACUGAGAUACGGCCCAGACUCCUACGGGAGGCAGCAGUGGGGAAUAUUGCACAAUGGGCGCAAGCCUGAUGCAGCGACGCCGCGUGGGGGAUGACGGCCUUCGGGUUGUAAACUCCUUUCGCUAGGGACGAAGCUUUUUGUGACGGUACCUAGAUAAGAAGCACCGGCUAACUACGUG
rnacentral:rRNA from 1 species